rnacentral:rRNA from 1 species
GAUGAACGCUGGCGGCGUGCUUAAUACAUGCAAGUCGAACGCAUAGCCAAUGGUGCUUGCACCUUUCAAGGUAGUGGCCAACGGGUGAGUACCACGUUGACAACCUGCCUCAAUGCGGGGGAUAACAUUUGGAUACAGAUGCUACUACCGAAUAAAACUUAUUGCCGCAUGACACUAAGUAAAAAGGCGCUUCGGCGUCACCUAUAGAUGGAUCCGCGGUGCAUUAGUUAGUUGGUGGGGUAAAGGCCUACCAAGUCAAUGAUGCAUAGCCGAGUUGAGAGACGGAUCGGCGGCAUGAGGACUGAGACAAGAACAAAAAGCCUGAGAGAGGCAGCAGUAGGGAAUCUGAAACAAUGGGCGAAAGAAUGAUGGAAUAGCGCGAAGCGUGUGAUGAAAACGUUGGGGUCGUAAAGAACUGUUGUAUGGGAAGAACAGCUAGAGUAGGAAAUGAUGUGAGUGUGACGGUACCAUACCAGAAAGGGACGGCUAAAUACGUG